rnacentral:tRNA from 1 species
AAGGAUUAGUUAAAUAAUAACAUUGAAUUGUCAAAUCAAAAUUAAAAAAUUUUAUCUUUUAA